GACGACGCUGGCGGCGUGGAUUAGGCAUGCAAGUCGAACGGUAUCAGUCUUCGGGGGUGAGAGAGUGGCGAACUGGUGAGUAACACGUAGGUUAUCUACCCUCAAGACGGGGACAACCCAGGGAAACUUGGGCUAAUACCGGAUGUGAGCAACUUUUAGUUGUUUGAAAGGUGGCGUAAGCUGUCGCUUGGGGAUGAGCCUGCGUCCUAUUAGUUAGUUGGUGAGGUAACGGCUCACCUAGGCAAUGAUAGGUAGGCGGCCUUAACGGGUGGUCGCCCACACUGGGAUUGAGAUACGGCCCAGACUCCUACGGGAGGCAGCAGUCGAGAAUAGUCUACAAUGGUCGGAAGACUGAUAGUGCGACGCCGCGUGAACGAUGAAUCCCUUCGGGGUGUAAAGUUCUUUUAUAUGUGAGCAGUGCUUCUUAUAUUAACAGUAUGGGGAGAGAGAUAUUAGCAUAUGAAUAAGCAACGGCUAACUCCGUG
rnacentral:rRNA from 1 species